rnacentral:tRNA from 1 species
UGAAAGAUAAGCUACAUUUAAGCUAAUGGGCUCAUACCUCAUUCAUGAUUUUUUUAUCUCUUUCUA